rnacentral:lncRNA from 1 species
UAGUGUGCGUCUGAAUGGGAUGCCUGGACCUUUGGCAAUCAUCUUGGGACCUUAGGAUCCAGGCUGCCUGCUGAGAAGGGCAGAGUGGAGAAAGAGAGAAUCUGGGCCCUUGACAAUUACACUGAGCUGCUUUACCUCCUGCUUCUCCCUCGUCUGGACUUUUAGUCAGAGAGAGAGAGAGAGUGAGCACAAACAGGAGGAGCAGGAGAGGGAGAAGCAGGCUUCCCUCUGAACAGGGAGCCUGAUGCAGGACCAAAGAAAAAAAGAAAAAAGAAAGAAAGAAAAUAUACACUGUGGCAAUUAAAGAUGAUAUGGAUAAAGAUGAAAGCAACACAAAGGUAAGAGGAAAGCCUGGGAAGUAGGGAAUUGCUGAUUUGUAUCAGGCUGGUCUCAGGAAAGUUCUCACCCAUUCAGUGACAUUUGGGCAGGCACCUGAAAGAAAGGGCAAGUGAGCCAUAUGGAUGUCUGAGGAAAGAUGGUUCU